GCCUGGUUGGCUCAGGUGGUAGAGCGGCUGGCCUGCAAAGGCAGUGGUUCCGGGUUCAAGUCCCGGACCAGAACG